GAUGAACGCUGGCGGCGUGCUUAACACAUGCAAGUCGAACGAUGAAGCCCAGCUUGCUGGGUGGUUUAGUGGCGAACGGGUGAGUAACACGUGAGUAACCUGCCCUUAACUCUGGGAUAAGCCUGGUAAACUGGGUCUAAUACCGGAUAGGAGCGCCUACCGCAUGGUGGGUGUUGGAAAGAUUUAUCGGUUUUGGAUGGACUCUCGGCCUAUCAGCUUUUUGGUGAGGUAAUGGCUCACCAAGGCGACGACGGGUAGCCGGCCUGAGAGGGUGACCGGCCACACUGGGACUGAGACACGGCCCAGACUCCUACGGGAGGCAGCAGUGGGGAAUAUUGCACAAUGGGCGAAAGCCUGAUGCAGCGACGCCGCGUGAGGGAUGACGGCCUUCGGGUUGUAAACCUCUUUCAGUAGGGAAGAAGCGAAAGUGACGGUACCUGCAGAAGAAGCACCGGCUAACUACGUG
rnacentral:rRNA from 1 species